UCUGCCUGUCUGACCAUCAGGUGCAUGAAUUUUCAUCUGAGCCAAUCAGAUGCCUGUUCCUGGAUUGCCUGUUCUGCACUGAUCUUUCCCCACUUUUUUGAGCAAGCAGUCCUUUGGAGCCCCCCAAGGGAACAACGGUGCUAUCCUGUUGAGAUUCUGCCCCUGGAAAAAUCUCAUGAUACCCAAUCUCUCAUCCGUGGUUCUGUGCUGUCUUCACUGCUCACCAUGAUAAGGGUCAAGCAGAUGGAAGAAAGAAAUGAUUAAGAUGCACUAGCACCAACUCCACCCUGGCAGGCCCAUCACCCUGGCAGCAGUCAGCCAGUAGUCAUGAGGGAUGCUUCACUAUCAGUAACUGAAGAACUGGAUUCACAAGAAUCAUAAUCACUACCCAACUUCCAGUGCUGCUUCUGAUGAUGCUCCUUGGUGGGGUGCUUCUUGCUAGUCUUCCACAACACCUCAUCAGAGGAAUCUGAGGGCUCAACUGGAAGUUGAUGCCCUGUUUGCUGGCUAAGUGGUCUGAGAUAGCAAGAAAGGUAAAGCAAAGCAAGCUGUAACUGCAGUGACCAAGAUAGCAGCUGCGGACUGUGUCCAAACUUAAAGAAGGCUCUUUAUCCCCCCACUUGCAACACGGUGACAGAUAAAGGUACUGGUACAAAAGUUGGGCGCCACCCCCACUCUCUGCCAAGUGGUAGCAAGAUUACAGGGGGUCCCAGGUGCACACCUGGCGUCUGUGCUGCUUUGGAGAAUUGAAGACAUGGCAGAGACUGUUGUAGUUUUUUUUAAAGAGCCACAUAUUUACACCUUCAGUCUGCAUGGAGGGAGCCCAAAGCUUACAGCAUGGUCAUUCCAAGAGCGGCUUGUUCCCCACAGCAGUACAUCGCUGGAGGCAAAGGCAUCUCUCACAGCCAGCCUUCAGCCAACCUGUCCAAGAUGGAUCUCAAUCUCUCUCCCCCCCCCCAGUCUUCUUCCCAGCACACUUUGCUAAAAACUUUCCUGUUGCCUCAUACCCAGUUACCCUGGUAACAUUCUGUCUGCCGGGGCCCAAUAUUUCUCUUGGAUGGGCCAUCAACACCUUUCGUUAUGUUAAUGCCUCUAUUCCAUGUGAGGCCCUGGCUUGGAAAGGAAGCUUAGCCUGUAUUUUUCCACGGGCCAGCAACCUUCCCUUCAGUACUCCCAGCUAAUCUAAACCUUAACAUUUAUUAAUUUCUAGGGUUUACGGCAGGGGUCGGCAAGGCUUACUGGGCAUGGGCUGGAUUACUCCCGCGGAGAUCCUCCAUGGGCCGGGCCGGCGCAGUGUCAUGCCAGAAAUGGCAUCUGUGCAUGUCCGUGGCACCAGAAAUUGCUUCUGCGCAUGCCCAGACACUUGAAAUCGUGCCUGCACUAUUCUAAAAAACAAGUAUGAUACAU